rnacentral:rRNA from 1 species
GAUGAACGCUGGCGGCGUGCCUAAUACAUGCAAGUCGAGCGAACAGACGAGGAGCUUGCUCCUUUGACGUUAGCGGCGGACGGGUGAGUAACACGUAGGUAACCUACCUAUAAGACUGGGAUAACUUCGGGAAACCGGAGCUAAUACCGGAUAAUAUUUCGAACCGCAUGGUUCGAUAGUGAAAGAUGGCUUUGCUAUCACUUAUAGAUGGACCUGCGCCGUAUUAGCUAGUUGGUAAGGUAACGGCUUACCAAGGCAACGAUACGUAGCCGACCUGAGAGGGGGAUCGGCCACACUGGAGCUGAGACACGGUCCAGACUCCUACGGGAGGCAGCAGUAGGGAAUCUUCCGCAAUGGGCGAAAGCCUGACGGAGCAACGCCGCGUGAGUGAUGAAGGUCUUCGGAUCGUAAAACGCUGUUAUUAGGGAAGAACAAACGUGUAAGUAACUGUGCACGUCUUGACGGUACCUAUCAGAAAGCCACGGCUAACUACGUG